UUUCAUAGGAAAUGACAUGUGAUAAAGUUUAAUCAUUUUACAUGUUAAUCUAGGACUCCAUUGUUGCUCAGUUGAAGACAAUUUCGAAGACCCUAGAACUCGCAACUGUAAAAAUCAAAAUUAAUUCCUUUAAAUAAAGGCCGCCCGUUUUAUGCCUAAAAUCAUCAUCUGCUUUGCUCUCCUCUGGAGCUAGCUAUUUGUGGAGGGGAAAUGAAGAAUAUCCAGAGAACGAAAGGUUAAGGCCGGGCCUUUUCUGCAAGUACUGUACUGUGGAAUUUGCAGAUAUUACAAAUCUCUCAUUACUUCUCACAUUCCAUGAGCCUGCAAAUAUCCAAAGCCAUUCACUUGAGGUGUUGAUCAGCUUCUUGUAAUCAUUUUUGUUGCAUCUUUCUGUUGAUUUCUUUUCGUUAUUCUGUGCGUUUUGUACAUUGAAUGAAGUAUUGCCUUAAAAUAUUUCUAUUUUUUAAGGCACAAAUUUUUGGGUUUGUGAAAUCAAAGUAAAGCACCGAAAUCCAAGGGCAAAGUUUUAACCUUUGUGGAUUGGGUCUGGAUGUUCUUGAUGAUGAAUGAUUUGUUCUUGAUUAGAAGUGUGGCACAUAUAUGUUGAAAUCUAUUAAUGCAGAUGUUGGUCUAAGCAUCUUUGAAUUGAGAGUUCUCUGCUCAUAAAUAUUUUGUAGUAGAAAUUGAGCAUGAUGAUAGACAUCCAACUCCAAGUCUCCAAUUUUGUUUAAACUAAGACUCUAUGAGUUCCCUGGGACUCACUAGUGAGUAAUAUGAUGCUUUCAGUGACACAAAAGUCACUUUCAUAAGUAAUUUUGAUGAAAAAAAAAACACACUUUAUUAACAGUUAAUAAAAAGACUAAAAUAAAAAUAAUAAUAACAAAGUAAAAAUGGCAGUAAAAUUAAACUAAGGUCAAUGUGCAAUGUUCCUUAUUUGCCAUGAUUCGAGUUGGCAAAUAUUGGAUGAACCCUACAUUUAGCUAUCAUCCCCUCUCCUAGCUUGUUAUCUGGUCCUACUACCAGAUAUCUUUGUCAGCUCCAUCAUCGUCAUAAUAUCCAACGAAGAACUGAAAUGAGGCCUUGCUGAAACAGUCAUUGGAAUUCAGAAAGAUUGGACUACCCCACAGGAGCACGGUUUCUGAUUUGAAUUUCAUUUGAUUCUUAAUCAAUGAGAUGCAUAUGUUUGUAUCCUAGGUUCAAACUGGACUAUGUCUAAGAUUUUGCCUUGAAUCAAAGUAUGUCAUAUCAUAGGUACUAAAAGCAUACAAGUAAAUAGGAGCAAAACUCAAAUUUACUCUUACACUUUUUUAAAUGCUUAUUUAAGUCAAUUUUAAAUUUUUUAAAUUCAAUUAAUUCAUUUUUUUUUUUUUAAGUUCAAAUAUAAUAGGGGUAGCUCUACCUUCAAACAUCGACUUUCACAAUCAGAAUGCCACUUAAUUAGUCAAUUCAUCAAUGCUCAAUCGUAUACUUGCCACAGGGAAGUUUAUUUUUUCAAUAUAAACCAAAUUUCAAAGGUCUUGGAGCUUAUUAGAAUAUCUUAAUGUGUAAGCACCUUCUAUCAUUGUUGCUCAUUGAAACUAACUUAGAUUUAAAUGCUAUUGGGAACUCCCUUCCCUGUGACCCCAAAUUUCGGCUUCCCAUCUUGAUUUUCAUGUUUUUAUGUUGAAUAUUGGAUGAAACCCGCAUUUAACUAUCAUAUCCUCACAUAUUAUCUGAUCCCACACACACAUAUCUUCGUCAGCUCCAUCAUUGUCAUAAUAUUCAACCAAGAAUUGAAAUGAGGCCUUGCUGAAACCGUCAUUGGAAUCCAGAAAAAUUGGACUAUCCCAAAGGAACACGUUUUCUGAUUCUAAUUUCAAUUGAGGAGUGAUUGAAGAAGAAGAAGAAGAAGAAGAGGCCAUGAUAACAAAAGUAAAGCUAAAUUCUAUGCAAUGAAGGAAGACAACGGAUAAGCACAUACAAGCUGGAUAGCUGAUGAUCGAAUAGGUCUCUAUUCUGUCUUUCUAAAUGCUAACAAUGUUCUCAUUCCCUUCAGCUCGUGUUGGGCUUUUUUUAAGCUGUGAAUGACACUACAAGCUAGCUCUGCCUUCAAACAUCGACUUUCAUAAUCAGAAUGGUUAACUACACAGCAAAGGAGACUUUUUCGUUUCCAACAAGAAUGCCACUCAAUUAUUCAUCAAUGCUGAAUCUUAUACUUACCACAGGCAAGUUUAUUUUUUUCAAUACAAACCAAAUUUCGAAGAUCUUUGAGCUUAUUAGCAUGUUUUCAAAUGUGUUAGCAUCUUAUACAAUUGUUGCUCAUUGAAACUAACUUAGAUUGAAAUGCUAUUGGGAACUCCCUUCCCUGUGACCCCAGGUUCAGAUAAUGGCUUCAAGAGUUCAUAAGGAACAACACCGGCUCCAGCUCUAUUUGUGUUCUUCAAAUCAUUGUUCCUCUCAUCAAUAGUAGCUUCAAGCUCCUUAAGCCUUGCACUGAAUCUUUCAUAAGCAGUUUUAAUGACAGGAUCUGCUUCCCAGGAUGGUUCCAAUGUGUCUCCAAUGUAUUCCUCAUCAGGUGAAUGGUUAGAUAGAACAUCCAAAAUGGCCAUCACUUUAGUUGCUUGCUGCUGUGAAGGGAAGCAUUUUAACAAUGUAAGUUCUGGUUUCUUCAAGAAGAGUUCAAACUCUGCCUCUGUUGGCUCCUCUGUUGGCAUAUUGGUUCUAGCGAUUGUUGGCCUAUUGGGAAAGUACCCAGCAAAAACAUACUGGCCAAAGUUCACAGCUGAGUGAUGACCUGAAGUUACCCAUAUUAUGGUUGUUAAAACCUGGAUUAAAUCUUGUUGGGUUUUCAGGACAGGCCACCAUGGUUCAUCUUUCUUGUCUUCAUGGCCUUUAGCCCUAACAUCUUCCCACCAUGCUUGAAGUUCAUUGUCAGAUGCGACCUUGCUUGCUUCUGGGUAGUAGUGGUUCACAUAAUCAGUAACCCAUUGCUUAAUUGCAUCCCAAAGCAUCAGGCCAUCAUUGGCGAAUGGGUAGUCUUCGAUGGUUAGCUUCAAGCCAUGUUUUGCUGUUGGAUCCUCAACUGCCAUUCCCCUGAAAAAUUGGUAAACGAUUAAUUCAAUUGGCUUGCAUGACCUCUCAUGGAGUAUAUAUGCGAUAAAGUGAAUGAUCAAUACCUGCUGAUCAAGUCAUCUGGCAAUGCUUCUUUGUCGAAACGCCAGAGCUUGUCAUAAGCAACAGAGCUAAGCUCCAUGGAGUAUUUGCCAGGAGAGAAAGUGCUUUCAAUAAUUCCACCUGCAUUGAUGAGCUGUUGUCGAGCGAGAGCAUUGAUUUCCAUUGUGUAUCGGAAAUGAGGAUGUAAAAGUCUGAAGAUAGGGUGCAUUUCACUGAGUUGUCUAUGAGCUGCAAUUAUGUAUGGCUCUACACAGCAGUGUGUCCUCAGCCUGGAAAAAAAAAAAUUCAUAAGCCCAUGUGUAUUUAGGCUUUUGGUUUGGAAUCAAUGAGCAUUCAGCAUCCUGUGAACUAUUUACCAGUGAGAGACAAGUUGGUGGAUGCCAGAGUCAUGAGCUAAGGCAUGUGCUUUUGCCAUCCUCCAAAGCCAACAGCUAGUGGCAUCAAAGCUUGGCGUAAACACUUGUUUCCAUUGUGGUUGGCCACCAAUUGGUGGGCGAGUGAGUUCAAUAGCAACAGGCCUCAAUGUGCUAUCAUUGACGAGGAAGAACAUUGUCCUGGAACCAUACAAUGUGGUGCCUUCAAGCUCCCUUACUUUGGCCACAUAUGGUAAGAGAAUAUCAUGGUAAUCCAAUAUAAAUAGCCUCUUCUGCUUCAAAGCCUACAAAACCCCCAAUUUUGAUUCAGCUGCAAAACAAGAAAUUUUUCAUUUGAGUCUAUGGAGUAUCGAACAGCUAUAUACCUCUUCAACAGUCAUGAAGCCCCUGAUUUCUUUUUCGAUUAUUUCUUUUGUGAUCGCUGAUUCAGGAGGACCAUAGACGUUAGGAUCAAGUUUGCUCGUUAGAGGCCAUUCCUACGAUAGAAAAUUCAAAAAUUUAGUGUUUUAUAACAAGUUUGAUCAUUUGGUUUCAAUCGGGCCUCGAAUUAUAGAUCAAGACAUAAAUAUAGAAGAUUUACUUGCAAUGUAUGUGAAUCUCAUCAUAUUGUUUGAGUUCAUAAUGAAUUAGAUCUGUAUAAUAAAUAGUCAAAUAAAGCAGUACUCUACCUUUAAACUAUUAGUAUUUUUCUUACUUAGACUCCAUGUUCAAGAUUUAACUUAUUUUA